GCUCCUGGCUGUGUGCGAUCGAGAAGGAUAGGGCAGGGGAGACUUUCCCCUCAAAACCCUAGCAAAUUAUCACCAAAUUGAGAGGCUUAAAGGCUGAAAUUGUUAUGCAUGGGCUAGGAACUUUGAUUACUUAAGUGUUCUUGACAUCAAGCACGAAGAAAGAAGAAAGCGCGAGUCAUUCGAAGUCACAAGCAACGCAAGACCACGGCACGAAGAAAGAAGAAAGCGCGAGUCAUUCGAAGUCACAAGCAACGCAAGACCACGGUAUAUCCCACUCAUGAUGAUGCGAGCUCGGAUCGGACACACCACACUACAUCGCCCUUUAUGCGCUUCCGGUUAAAGUCGUCUUUUGUAAAUGGGUCAAAACUCUUUCAUAAUGUAAAUAUUAAAUUUAUGUCUUUUGAAGUG